rnacentral:rRNA from 1 species
GUUUGGUUAAGUUAGAAAGGGCGCACGGUGGAUGCCUUGACACUAGGAGUCGAUGAAGGACGGGACUAACGCCGAUAUGCUUCGGGGAGCUGUAAGUAAGCUUUGAUCCGAAGAUUUCCGAAUGGGGAAACCCACUAUACGUAAUGGUAUGGUAUCCUUACCUGAAUACAUAGGGUAUGGAAGACAGACCCAGGGAACUGAAACAUCUAAGUACCUGGAGGAAGAGAAAGCAAAUGCGAUUUCCUGAGUAGCGGCGAGCGAAACGGAACAUAGCCCAAACCAAGAGGCUUGCCUCUUGGGGUUGUAGGACAUUCUAUACGGAGUUACAAAGGAACGAGGUAGACGAAGCGACCUGGAAAGGUCCGUCGUAGAGGGUAACAACCCCGUAGUCGAAACUUCGUUCUCUCUUGAAUGUAUCCUGAGUACGGCGGAACACGUGAAAUUCCGUCGGAAUCUGGGAGGACCAUCUCCCAAGGCUAAAUACUCCCUAGUGAUCGAUAGUGAACCAGUACCGUGAGGGAAAGGUGAAAAGCACCCCGGAAGGGGAGUGAAAGAGAUCCUGAAACCGUGUGCCUACAAAUAGUCAGAGCCCGUUAAUGGGUGAUGGCGUGCCUUUUGUAGAAUGAACCGGCGAGUUACGAUCCCGUGCAAGGUUAAGCUGAAGAGGCGGAGCCGCAGCGAAAGCGAGUCUGAAUAGGGCGUUUAGUACGUGGUCGUAGACCCGAAACCAGGUGAUCUACCCAUGUCCAGGGUGAAGUUCAGGUAACACUGAAUGGAGGCCCGAACCCACGCACGUUGAAAAGUGCGGGGAUGAGGUGUGGGUAGCGGAGAAAUUCCAAUCGAACCUGGAGAUAGCUGGUUCUCCCCGAAAUAGCUUUAGGGCUAGCCUUAAGUGUAAGAGUCUUGGAGGUAGAGCACUGAUUGAACUAGGGGUCCUCAUCGGAUUACCGAAUUCAGUCAAACUCCGAAUGCCAAUGACUUAUCCUUAGGAGUCAGACUGCGAGUGAUAAGAUCCGUAGUCAAGAGGGAAACAGCCCAGAUCGCCAGCUAAGGUCCCAAAGUGUGUAUUAAGUGGAAAAGGAUGUGGAGUUGCUUAGACAACUAGGAUGUUGGCUUAGAAGCAGCCACCAUUUAAAGAGUGCGUAAUAGCUCACUAGUCGAGUGACUCUGCGCCGAAAAUGUACCGGGGCUAAAUACACCACCGAAGCUGCGAAUUGAUACCAAUGGUAUCAGUGGUAGGGGAGCGUUCUAAGUGCAGUGAAGUCAGACCGGAAGGACUGGUGGAGCGCUUAGAAGUGAGAAUGCCGGUAUGAGUAGCGAAAGACGGGUGAGAAUCCCGUCCACCGAAUGCCUAAGGUUUCCUGAGGAAGGCUCGUCCGCUCAGGGUUAGUCAGGACCUAAGCCGAGGCCGACAGGCGUAGGCGAUGGACAACAGGUUGAUAUUCCUGUACCACCUCUUUAUCGUUUGAGCAAUGGAGGGACGCAGAAGGAUAGAAGAAGCGUGCGAUUGGUUGUGCACGUCCAAGCAGUUAGGCUGAUAAGU